AUUGAACGCUGGCGGCAGGCUUAACACAUGCAAGUCGAGCGAGCGGCGGACGGGUGAGUAAUGUCUGGGAAACUGCCUGAUGGAGGGGGAUAACUACUGGAAACGGUAGCUAAUACCGCAUACCAUCAGAUGUGCCCAGAUGGGAUUAGCUAGUAGGUGGGGCAAUGGCUCACCUAGGCGACGAUCCCUAGCUGGGCUGAGAGGAUGACCAGCCACACUGGAACUGAAACACGGUCCAGACAAGUACGGGAGGCAGCAGGGGGGAAUAUUGCAAAAUGGGCGCAAGCCUGAUGCAGCGAGGCAGCGUGUGUGAAGAAGGCCAUCGGGUGGUAAAGCACGUUCAGCGAGGAGGCGUUACUCACAGAAGAAGCACCGGCUAACUCCGUGCCAGCAGCCGCGGUAAUAC
rnacentral:rRNA from 1 species